CUUUUUUCGUUUCUGAGCACCAUGCUCAACCGUGCAGGUUCGAGUCGAGCCAAGCGAGACAACGGAGUCGCUCGCGGCGACGGCCCGAAGGGCGAGCAAAGCGCGUUAUCCUGCCCGGGCCACCA
rfam:Raoultella planticola strain GCSL-DIFS-295 CFSAN029441_contig1319, whole genome shotgun sequence.